UUGCCUCAGCCUCCUUCAAAGCUGAGAUGACAGAUGUGCUACCAAUCCCAGCUUCUAUUCCCGAAUUUCAUAUUAACGGAAGUUUGUACGGCUGGUACUCACAUUUACACAGCAGUUAAAAUGAUUUUGUUAACAGUAUUGUAAACUGUACCUAGAGAAACAAGUUUGUUCCCAAGACUCUGGCAAAACCCCAGGCUGAGACCUUAGAAGGGGAAGAACUUGGCAGGGUGAAGUUGAUAAAGACGCAGGUGAUUCCUUCUCAGGGAGAGGGGUCAGAGGCAGGCCUGUGGGAGGAGCUAGGCCAGAAGCCAUGACAGGGCCCCUGGACAGAUGGACGUGGUGUCCCUGUCAGAGGCCUGGUUUUGCAGGGGCUGCUGAGGACCUAAGUCCUCCAGAGCAGGCCAGUUGCAUGCACAGUUCUCUGCAGGACGCUGCUGGGGAGGGAAGACCUUGGGUACCCAUCUGCCUUUCCCGUGGAGAGCUCAUACCAGUGGCAGGCUGCUGGGAGAGAAUGAGGCCUGCAGAGGCCCCAUCAGCCAGCUGAGCACAUACUCCGCCACAGCCCCUCUGUAUGGCCACAGCCCCUCUGCAUGGCCUGACCGGCCCACACAGAGACUGCGUCCACUCACUGUGCAGCAGAACUCCCAGUCCACACUCUCUCCCUCAGGUCUGCUCUUGAUGUUGCUGUAUUUCAUUCAAGGUGGGUCGAGAACUGGGAGGAUUCAGGGAAGGGGUCUCUGGGGUCCUGGUUAGUGUGAACCGUCAACUUGACAGAGCGAACAGUCAUCCCAGAGGAAAGCUUCCAUGGAGAAAUUGCCUAGAUCAGAUUGGCCUGCAGGCCCGUCCUGGGGGAUCGUCUGGAUUGUUGACUGGUCUAGGACGGCCCAGCCCACAGUGGGCGGCACCACUCCCGGAGCGGGUGGUUCUGGGCUGUGUAAGAAAGCUAAUCUUGAGCUAGUGAGCCAGCAACAGAGUUCCUCCAUGGUUUCUGCCUCCAGAUUCCUGUCUCCGUUCCUGCUCUGACUGCCCUCAGUGAUGGAUUGUGACCCAGACGUAAAGAAUUAAAGCCAUGAGAUGGGAAGAGCAUGAAAUGUGUGGCUGGUGGCCAUGAGACCCUCAGUGAUGCUGGAAGUGGAUCCUGCCUUGAUGGACUGUCAGACACUAACUUCGAGAUCCCUCCCAACUCUAUUGCAUCUGUAUUGGGGAUUGAUUUAUCAUAAAGGGAGCUGGUCAGAUUUCUGAGCCAAGGAAGCAGGACAGAGGACAGAGGACGAGCUGGGCUGGAGACAGCCGCAAACACCCACCUUCAAUCAGAAGACACAAAUGAAACCCGGUCAACAUUUUCCCAAACUCUACUUGGACCCCAAGAUCAUCCUCUUGAAGGCCUUUAUACAUCGUCUGAACUGGGCAGGGGCCAGCCACAGAGCCUGUUCUUGCUGUUGUGAGCAGUGACAGGCCACCUGAGCUCAAAGAGGAGGGAACAGAGGCCAGGAGACACUGGAGAUGGAGAACCACUUAGUCCUGGCAGGGAAGUGCACCCAUGUCCUGCAAUGCCUGUGGAGGUCAG